rnacentral:rRNA from 1 species
UCAAGAGUUUUUGACCUGGCUCAGAUUGAACGCUGGCGGCAGGCCUAACACAUGCAAGUCGAGCGGAUGACGGGAGCUUGCUCCUUGAUUCAGCGGCGGACGGGUGAGUAAUGCCUAGGAAUCUGCCUGGUAGUGGGGGACAACGUUUCGAAAGGAACGCUAAUACCGCAUACGUCCUACGGGAGAAAGCAGGGGACCUUCGGGCCUUGCGCUAUCAGAUGAGCCUAGGUCGGAUUAGCUAGUUGGUGAGGUAAUGGCUCACCAAGGCGACGAUCCGUAACUGGUCUGAGAGGAUGAUCAGUCACACUGGAACUGAGACACGGUCCAGACUCCUACGGGAGGCAGCAGUGGGGAAUAUUGGACAAUGGGCGAAAGCCUGAUCCAGCCAUGCCGCGUGUGUGAAGAAGGUCUUCGGAUUGUAAAGCACUUUAAGUUGGGAGGAAGGGCAGUAAGUUAAUACCUUGCUGUUUUGACGUUACCGACAGAAUAAGCACCGGCUAAC